rnacentral:lncRNA from 1 species
GUGUCCCCCCCUCCCCAUCUCCCAGGGCAUCGCGGGGACGGACGUGGCCAAGGAGGCCUCGGACAUCAUCCUGACGGACGACAACUUCUCCAGCAUCGUGGCCGCCGUCAUGUGGGGCCGCAACGUCUACGACAGCAUCGCCAAGUUCCUCCAGUUCCAGCUCACCGUCAACGUGGUGGCCGUCGUGGUGGCCUUCACCGGCGCCUGCAUCACCCAGGUGGGGCGCCGCCCGCCCCGCCCCACACGUGCGGGAGAGGUCCUACAGCCCAUGGGAGAUGUUGGGAGAGGUUCCUCACCCCAUGGGAGAUGUUGGGAGAGGUUCCUCACCCCAUGGGAGAUGUUUUACAUCCAUGGGAGAUGUUGGGAGAGGUCCUACAACCCAUAGGAGAUGUUGGGAGAGGUCCCUCACCCCAUGGGAGAUGUUCUACACCCUGUAGGAGAUGGUGGGAGAGGUCCCUCACCCCAUGGGAGAUGUCCUACGCCCCAUGGGAGACGUUGGGCGGUGUCCCUCCCCCCAUGGCCACGUCCCCAAGGCGUGUCCCCCAACCUCGCCCCCGCAGGACUCCCCCCUGAAGGCCGUGCAGAUGCUGUGGGUCAACCUCAUCAUGGACACCUUGGCCUCCCUGGCGCUGGCCACCGAGCCCCCCACGGAGGCCCUGCUGCUGCGCAAGCCCUACGGCCGCGACCAGCCCCUCAUCUCCCGCACCAUGCUGAGGAACAUCCUGGGCCACGCCGCCUACCAGCUCCUCGUCAUCUUCACCCUCCUCUUCGUCGGGGAGCUGCUGCUGGACAUCGACAGCGGGCGGCAGGCCCCCCUGCACGCCCCCCCCUCCGAGCACUACACCAUCAUCUUCAACACCUUCGUCAUGAUGCAGAUCUUCAACGAGGUCAACGCCCGCAAGGUCCACGGCGAGAGGAACGUCUUCCAGGGCGUCUUCGCCAACCCCGUCUUCUGCACCAUCGUCCUCGGCACCUUCGCCGUCCAGGUGCUGAUCGUGCAGUUUGGGGGGAAGCCCUUCAGCUGCUCCCCCCUCAGCGCCGAGCAGUGGCUGUGGUGCCUCUUCCUGGGGCUGGGCGAGCUCCUCUGGGGGCAGGUACCGCUCUGACCCACAGCGGGACCCUCUGCCCCACAGCGGGGACCCUCUGACCCAUAGCG